rnacentral:lncRNA from 1 species
AUGGAGACCAAGGCCAUCAGUCCACAGUUCAGAGCGCAGAAACUCCUCCACGCUGUGAAACGUUCCCUUCAAGGAUUCUGGAAGGCAAAGGUGUCCACCUGGGGUAAGGAAAGCAAGCUCGGAAGUGCUCUGUUACGGGAUGCUGCGUUUCACCAGUUACAGGAAUGCCUAAAGCUGCUUGCCCAAGAAGAUGCUGAAAGGCAGGAGAGAGUGCAGGAGCCAAAGGAACAGGAAGAAAUGCUUGAAAACUUCAACACACAAGGUAGCAAGUUGAAAUGAUAGAGUCAUUUAAAAUCUCUGCCACCCUGCCAGUGACCAUAAGAGUGCCUGAUCUCUGUAGAGAAGAGUAUGAGGAUGAGGCAACAAGGAAUUGAGCUAAAAUGGUGAAUCCAAAGAUGAAAAUCAAGGGUACCAGCCUCAAGUGAAUGUGAAGAAACUCAUCAACACUAUUAUAUGUUUUUUAUUAAGAACUUGAAAGAGAAAAAUGGGAUAUAUAAAAGAUUUUUAUGAAUAAAAUAUUAUAUGAUAAAGGAAGGAAGCA